UACGUAGGACGCAAGCGUUAUCCGGAGUUACUGGGCGUAAAGGGCGGGCAGGCGGUCCAGCAAGUGGGGUGUGAAAUCUCCCAGCUUAACUGGGAGAGGCCAUUCCAAACUGCUGGACUGGAGGGCAGUAGAGGUAGGCGGAAUUCCGGGUGGAGUGGUGAAAUGCGUAGAGAUCCGGAGGAACACCAGAGGCGAAGGCGGCCUACUGGGCUGCACCUGACGCUGAACCGCGAAAGCUAGGGGAGCGAACGGG
rnacentral:rRNA from 1 species